AACGAACGCUGGCGGCAUGCCUAACACAUGCAAGUCGAACGAGACCUUCGGGUCUAGUGGCGCACGGGUGCGUAACGCGUGGGAACCUGCCCUUAGGUUCGGAAUAACUCCCCGAAAGGGGUGCUAAUACCGGAUAAUGUCUUCGGACCAAAGAUUUAUCGCCUUUGGAUGGGCCCGCGUUGGAUUAGCUAGUUGGUAGGGUAAAAGCCUACCUAGGCGACGAUCCAUAGCUGGUCUGAGAGGAUGAUCAGCCACACUGGGACUGAGACACGGCCCAGACUCCUACGGGAGGCAGCAGUGGGGAAUAUUGGACAAUGGGCGAAAGCCUGAUCCAGCAAUGCCGCGCGAGUGAUGAAGGCCUUAGGGUUGUAAAGCUCUUUUACCCGGGAUGAUAAUGACAGUACCGGGAGAAUAAGCUCCGGCUAACUCCGUG
rnacentral:rRNA from 1 species